UGUUAUUAUAUUUAUAUAAUUGUAAUUUUACUGGUCUAAUAAAUUCAAAUAAGGUCAAAUUCAAACUAAUAUAUUCAAGUCGACAAGGUCAAGUUCGGAGUAAUACAUUCUAAUCCAAUGAUAUAAUACUAACAUAAGCAACAUUAGGUGAAGAGAACACCCCGUGACAAAUAAAAAUCCCCGCUUUAUCAGCUGAUCAAUCCCAUACUCAAAUUAACUGUGACAGGUAUAGAAGCAAAAUGAAAAUUAGAAUUUGUAAAUUCACUCUUUUCAAUCUCUUUUUCGAUCAAAAAUUGGUACUUUGGUUGAUUGGAGCUGCUGUUAUGAGUUCAGGUUUGAAAGGUUGAUUCUAUGGUGAUUGAUGAAAUUUAUCUCUCUGGACUCUAGGUAUGUAAUAAUUAGACUCAAAAUUUUGUCGUCGAUAGGAGUGGCUUUUACCAAGACUCGAUGUUUUAGUCCUUGUAAAGAAAUUUAUUUGCUGAAUCAUAAAAUCUUGUUUAAUGUUGAAAGGCAUUGUUUGAGAAAUGAUAUGUUCAUUUUAGUCAUGCAAUAUUCAAGCGGUUCAUCGUGCAAAGUUUGAACCUAUGUAACAAGGACUCUACUAGAAGUCAGAGUUGAAACAUCUUUAAAAUGUAAGGUUCUGAACAGUUUUAUUUAUUUAUUUAUUUUUUUUUUUCACUUAAACUCCAAACAAAAUGUACGUAAUGAUGGACUUGAGCUAAUACAAGUUUUUUAUAUGAAAGUAUGAUACCGACCUAGCUGAUACCUACACAACCUAAUUGAUUUGAUCUAGCCUUGUUUCUGUUCAUCACCUGUUUCUCUAUGCUUUUCCUAUUAUGAUCUGUACUCACAAAAGUGAUAGUUGGUUUGCACUUUGCAGCAACCUUUACAACUGAAUUGUAAUUUGUGGCUGAUGUAUGUUAUACAAUGAGACAGAAAUGCCUUAGGCAAUGCAGACCGAGAAAAAAGCUCUUAUACAAGUUCUGCCUGGUAACUCAAAUCCAGAGUCUUGAUAUUUCAAAAGAGGCAUAUUAUAAUGUUCAAAUUGUUGAGAAGAAAGCUGGAGAGUUAUUGCUUCUUCUACUAGAGAAUAAACUUGUGGUUCGCAGCCUCUGAGCUACACCCCGCUUUGUCUCCUUCAUCUUUUCCACUGCCCACAUGAUUAGUGGGAGCCGCAUCACUUUCAUUCUUGUGUUGAUAACAUCCCAAAAGA